rnacentral:piRNA from 1 species
UGCCUCACAACAACCUCUUUUGGCCCAACUC